rnacentral:rRNA from 1 species
AGUGAACGCUGGCGGUAGGCCUAACACAUGCAAGUCGAACGGCAGCACAGUAAGAGCUUGCUCUUACGGGUGGCGAGUGGCGGACGGGUGAGGAAUACAUCGGAAUCUACUUUUUCGUGGGGGAUAACGUAGGGAAACUUACGCUAAUACCGCAUACGACCUACGGGUGAAAGCAGGGGAUCUUCGGACCUUGCGCGUUUGAAUGAGCCGAUGUCGGAUUAGCUAGUUGGCGGGGUAAAGGCCCACCAAGGCGACGAUCCGUAGCUGGUCUGAGAGGAUGAUCAGCCACACUGGAACUGAGACACGGCCCAGACUCCUACGGGAGGCAGCAGUGGGGAAUAUUGGACAAUGGGCGCAAGCCUGAUCCAGCCAUACCGCGUGGGUGAAGAAGGCCUUCGGGUUGUAAAGCCCUUUUGUUGGGAAAGAAAAGCAGCAGGUUAAUACCCCGCUGUUCUGACGGUACCCAAAGAAUAAGCACCGGCUAACUUCGUG